rnacentral:rRNA from 1 species
UACGUAGGGAGCAAGCGUUGUCCGGAAUCAUUGGGCGUAAAGCGCGCGUAGGUGGCUUCGUAAGUCCGUUGUGAAAGUCAAAGGCUCAACCUUUGAAAGCCGAUGGAUACUGUGAAGCUAGAGUACGGAAGAGGCGAGUGGAAUUCCUGGUGUAGCGGUGGAAUGCGCAGAUAUCAGGAGGAACACCGGUGGCGAAGGCGGAUCUCUGGGCCAUUACUGACGCUGAGGAGCGAAAGCGUGGGGAGCGAACAGG